rnacentral:rRNA from 1 species
AACGAACGCUGGCGGCAUGCCUAACACAUGCAAGUCGAACGAGACCUUCGUGCCUAGUGGCGCACGUGUGCGUAACGCGGGGGAACUUGCCCUUAGGUUCGGAAUAACUCCCCGAAGGGGGAGCUAAUAACGGAUAAUGUCUUCGCACCAAAGAUUUUCUGCUUUUGGGUGGGGCCUCGUUGGAUUCGCCAGUUGGUAGGGUAAAAGCCGGUCAUCGGGUCGAUGCAGAGCUGGUCGGAGAGGAGGAUCAUGAACGCUGGAACUGAGGCACGGCCCAGACCCCGAGGGGAGGGAGCAGUAGGAAGUAUAAGACAAGGAGCGAUAGCCUAGUACAGCAGUGCCGCGUGAGUGAGGAAGGGCUUAGGGUUGCAAAGCUCUUUUACCCGGGAUGAUAAUGACGGUACCGGGAGAAUAAGCUCCGGCUAACUACGUG